UCUGUGUUUACUUUGAGCAGCCAUACACCAUGCAUGGACACUAAGCUUCUUACUGCUUCUGAUUAGUGACCUCAAUUGAGACUCAUUGCUCAUUGCAAAGACUGCUAAUGGAUUGUUUGAGCCUGAAUGUGUUAGGAUGGAAUAUUUCUUCUUCUCAGAUUCAAGGCCAGUUUUUUUCCACCCCAAGUCCAUUCUACCCAGAGUUCUAGAUGAUGAUGGUCAGGUUAUUCAAGAUAAUGAUUAUGUUUUCUAGAUGAUUUAAAAUGAAGUUCAACUUUUAUUAUCUUCCCUAUAAUGAUAUUUGUAGUCUUUAUGUUCAAUAACAAGCUGUCAGGCUGCCUCAGUUUAAGCCAAGGCAUUUUCUUAUCAAAACCCAUCACAGAAAAAGAUACAAUCAUGAAACCACAGAUUCUUGUAGCUCUUCACAGUAAACUUUAACUAUGAAUAACCUCUUGGAUUAUUAGCCGAUUGUGAUUACAUUUAUAUUAUUUGCUCACAUGCUUUGUCACUUUAGAGCCCUGAAAACCCUGUUCAUUGUUGCUAGGAGAUGGGUGGCUAUGGCAACAGUGUGGGUCAGAGCCAGAUGGAAUGCCUAAAGCAUAAUCAGGUUUAGGCUUUUUUUUGAUCUCCAAAUGACUCCAUGGCAGUCCUGAGCACGGAAGCCCCAAAUCACUGCCUCUUCAGCUUGUUUCAAAAGACUGAGUCUCACACUGUCACCCGGGCUGGAGUGCAGUAGUGUGAUCUUGGUUCACUGCAACCACCGCCUCCCAGGUUCAAGCAAUUCUUCUGCCUCAGCUUCCUGAGUAGCUGGGAUUACAGGAGCCAGCCACCACACCCAGACAUAUUCCUUGAAGGUAGAAUCACUGUCAGCAGAGUCCUUGCCAGGAACGACUUUCCAGUGAAGGAGACAAUGGAAAUUUGGACAACAUUUUGAAAACCACUAACAGUAACAACGUGUUAAUAAUAAUUAAAACAUUAAGAUGAAGAAGACAAAGAAGGAGAAAUAUGAAGGGAUUGCUAAUUGCUGGUGUUCUGCAUUUGUUUUCUUAUUUAAUCCUCAUCAUAACCUUAUGAGGUGUUUCUCUCGGGAAAAGAGAGAAAUUGUUGGCAGAAAAUAAUGAAAACACAAGGACUUGUGCUAUGUGCUGAAAGAAUUGCUCCUGAAACGAUAAAGGUGAAAUGCAGAUAAAGACAAUCAAGAUACAGCCUUUUUUAAAAAAUUAUUUCCAUUCCAGUCCUAUCCAUCCUGGCUAUAAAGUGACUCUCAACCCAAA
rnacentral:lncRNA from 1 species